CCCCGGGGACGACCCCGGGCGGCCUGAAGACUGGCGGGACGGCCCGC
rfam:Triticum urartu cultivar G1812 contig364096, whole genome shotgun sequence.